rnacentral:rRNA from 1 species
UGAGUAACGCGUAUCCAACCUGCCCCUUACUACGUGGACAGCCCGGCGAAAGUCGGAUUAAUACCGUAUGUGGUGUGAAGAGGGCAUCUGACUUACACUAAAGCAUUCGUCGGUACAGCGGAUGGGGAUGCGUCCGCAUUAGGUUGUCGGCGGGGUAACGGCCCACCGAGCCUUCGAUCGGUAGGGGUUCUGAGAGGAAGGUCCCCCACACUGGAACUGAGACACUGGUCCAGACUCAUACGGGAGGCAGCUAGCUGAGGAAUACUUGGUCAACUGGGCGAGUAGCCUGAACCAGCCAAGUAUGCGUGAGGGAAGACUGCCCUAUGGGUUGUAAACCUCUUUAGUCUGGGAAUAAACGUUGGCCGACGUGUCGCCUUUUGUAGGUACCAGAAGAAUAAGGACCGGCUAAUUCCGUGCCAGCAGCCGCGGUAAUACGGAAGGUCCGGGCGUUAUCCGGAUUUAUUGGGUUUAAAGGGAGCGCAGGCGGCCUGUUAAGCGGGCAGUUAAAGGCGGUGGCUCAACCAUCGUUAGCUGUCCGAACUGAUAGGCUUGAGUACGUGCGAGGUAUGCGGAAUUCGUGGUGUAGCGGUGAAAUGCUUAGAUAUCACGAAGAACCCCGAUUGCGAAGGCACGCAUACCAGUGCGCCACUGACGCUAAAGCUCGAAAGCGCGGGUAUCGAACAUGGAUUUAGAUACCCUGGUAGUCCGCGCGGUAAACGAUGGAUGCCCGCUGUGCGGCCUUGUAAGGUUGCGCGGCCAAGCGAAAGCGUUAAGCAUCCCACCUGGGGAGUACGCCGGCAACGGUGAAACUCAAAGGAAUUGACGGGGGCCCGCACAAGCGGAGGAACAUGUGGUUUAAAUUCGAUGAUACGCGAGGAACCUUACCCGGGCUUGAAUUGCAGCUGCAUGGGGCAGAGAUGUCCCUUCCCUUCGGGCGCUGCUGUGAAGGUGCUGCAUGGUUGUCGUCAGCUCGUGCCGUGAGGUGUCGGCUUAAGUGCCAUAACGAGCGCAACCCCCCUCCCCGGUUGCCAUCGGGUAAUGCCGGGCACUCCGAGGACACUGCCACCGCAAGGUGUGAGGAAGGUGGGGAUGACGUCAAAUCAGCACGGCCCUUACGUCCGGGGCUACACACGUGUUACAAUGGCAGGCACAGAGAGCUGGCGCGUCGCAAGACGCGUCGAAUCCUUAAAUCCUGCCUCAGUUCGGACUGGGGUCUGCAACCCGACCCCACGAAGCUGGAUUCGCUAGUAAUCGCGCAUCAGCCAUGGCGCGGUGAAUACGUUCCCGGGCCUUGUACACACCGCCCGUCAAGCCAUGAAAGCCGGGGGCGCCUGAAGUCCGUGACC